rnacentral:misc_RNA from 1 species
GGAUCAUUGUUGAAACCCUGCACAGCAGAACGACCCGCGAACUUGUAAAAUAUAACUUGGGGGCGAGGGGCCCUAGUGGCCUCGGACCUCCUUUGGCUUGGGGGGUGCCAACUCGGGCAUCGCCRGUCGGUGCCCGUUGCUGUUGCCUUCCCUGCCGCACAAACGAACCCCGGCGCAAUCCGCGCCAAGGAAUUUUCAACGAAUCAGCAAGCCCCGGCGCCCCAGAGAUGGUGCGCGUUUGGGGCUUUGCGUGGUAUUCUAUAUGUCAAAACGACUCUCGGCAACGGAUAUCUCGGCUCUCGCAUCGAUGAAGAACGUAGCGAAAUGCGAUACUUGGUGUGAAUUGCAGAAUCCCGUGAACCAUCGAGUCUUUGAACGCAAGUUGCGCCCAAAGCCAUUAGGCCGAGGGCACGUCUGCCUGGGCGUCACACAACGUUGCCCCCCCAACCCCAAUCCUCAACUUUUGAGGAGGACGGCGGGGGGCGGAUGCUGGCCUCCCGUGCGCCACGGUUCGCGGUUGGCCCAAAUACGAGUACUCGGCGACGAGCGCCGCGGCAAUCGGUGGUUGUCCAACCCUCGGUGCCAUGCUGCGCGCGCGAGUCGCUCUU